rnacentral:ncRNA from 1 species
UAGGGGCAUCGGGGUUCCGCUCCCCUCCCCGAGCCCAGGGUAACUCCUCAGGUGGAGGGGAC